GGAGAAGAAAGGUAACCGCGUUCGCCACGCGCAACCAGUAGUGGUUAGCGAGCGCGUGUAUAGCGACAUACAGUGCCCGCGUGUACCCAUAUCCAGUCGCAGCGACCGCGGUGUGUGUGUGUGUGUGUCAGUAACCGCUAAACCGCGACCGGUAUACGAUCGAGGUAUAAUAUAAGUGUUCGAACGGUGUACAUACAUUUUAGCGCGCGUUUAAUCGGGAUGCGUUACGCCCGCGUGCGGACUAUUUCGCGUUGAGCCGGUAAAGUUGUUUUGUUUUUCAGUUUUUCAUCCGUAUACAUACUGCAAGUAGUUUUUUUUUCGUCCGAUCGCAUAAAGUUAAGAGUCAAUAGCCGUCCGGUGGUAAACGCAGCACACGUAGCGGUGGUAUGUACCGCCGCUAUCGCCACUGCAGGACGACGAAGUGAUGUUAUCGAUGAACAGGCCUAUUAUCUAUCAAGUAAUAAUAGCAAUAAUAUUUUAAUUGAUAAUAUAUGUAUAGGCAAUCGAAUCAAUCAAAUAAUUAUCUGAUUUUAAUCGAUAGUGAUACUUGAUAUAGGCCAAAUCUAUAGCUAUAAUAUUAUAGGCCUAAAAAGGGCAAACUUGUUUUUGGUGUAAACAUGAUAAUGUAUAGGGAAGUAUAACAUAAAAUUUAUAUUUGCUUGUGUUACAGCGGCGUGUACCACUAUACCACUAAAAUUACGUGAAAUAUAAUAAAAAUCAAUAUCGAAAUCAAAAAUAUUUAUGUUAUUUAAAAUGACCAAACUGACUUAAUCUCUUAAUGUUAUUGGUCAGCAUAUUAUCGUAAUUAUUCCAGAAAGUGAAUUCGACUCGUUUUAACCUUAAGUUCAAAUAUAUAUUAUGAGUUUGUCGGAGAAGUUACAUUCAUAAAACAUAUUUUCUUAUUUUCCAAAGAGUUCGUGAUACAAAUACGAUAUCCGUGACGUCUGGUUUUUAUACACAUAAUAUAUAUAAUUAAUAUUUAAUAUAAUAUAUACCUACACUAUAUAGGAAAAUUUAUUUCUAUACGAAAAGCAUAAACAAAUUUAUGGUUACAGGGGAUAGGCCGGUUAGGGUUAAUGUUAAAACAUUAUUAUUAUUCGGUUUUAAGAAGAUAACGCGUGUUAACGCAAUGAAAUUUUAAUCAGAUUUUAAUCAUCACCAUUUUGAUCUUUUUCGUAAUCGGUUUUAUUACACGCAAUAAUACGUUGGGUUGACUAUAUACUUUUAUUCUCGCCUUUCACAUCUUCACAUGUCGAAGUCUCCACGCUAUCACUGUUUAUUUGCAUUUUUUUACUCUCUAAAAUGAAAAAAUAAAAACAAAAUUAUAUUUAAACAUUUUAGAAAUCCAAUUCUUUUUGAAUUUAGUGGAUAUUUGAUCGUAAUUUGUACACUAAUAAUUUGUAAUUUUAGAAAAUAGAAAACUUAUUGAUUUUUGUAGUUUACCUAUAAUCACACGGCGUAUUUUGUCCUGUUAUGAUGUUUGCAAACGACUAACUCUAUAAAGUGCUUGUAAUAAUUAAAUAUGAAUAUUACCGAGAAAUAUUGUGGUUUGGAUACGUUUAUGUCACACGGCACGAAGUCAAACUAUGUGAAAAUUCCCUCGUGUAGACCCGUUUUAAUAAUUUUACUAAUAUAUCGUUAUUUAUUUAAGAAUAUUAUGUUUUAACGUAAAAUAAAUAAAUAAUCUUACAUUCGUGUUUGCUUCGUAUUGAUAAGUAUUAUACCUACAAUAAAACCUUUGCAAUUUAAUAAUACGUUCAAAACCCCUCACGAGGAGAAUCCAAACGGAUACGGUACGUUUUUCUCGUCACUUGAUAAAUUCCCUUCGUCAUUAUUAUAAUAUUUAUAUAAUAUAAGACAAACUGAGCACCCAUCGGAUUAAUUUUGGGAAAGAAGACUCAUUUAAAAAUGGCAAAGUACGGUGGUGAAUAAGUCCCGUAGGGAAUAUAAAAUAUGUCCAUUAAACAUUUUAUAUUAUAUCAAAAACCAAAAUAUAAUACUAUACGAGUACAUACUUGUAGGGAGAAAAAUUAUUGCUAUUAUCAUUAUUAUUUUGCAGCAGUGCCGCAGUGGUCAACCAAAUCUGAGGGUGGUUAUAGUAGGGGUAUGCUACAAUCUCUGAAUUUUCGUUGGGGUACGUAAUACCCCCAAACCUCUUCCCUUCAAAUUCGAACACCAAUAGAUAAAUUCAAUAUUAGUGUUAUGCACACAAAUUUUAAAAUAAAGAUCUGAUACUGGAGAUGGGUGUGCUACUGUUUUAGAUAAGAAUUUUCGAAAAGUUGUUCGAAAGUUGUUCGAAGUUGUUCAGAAAAAAUAAUCAUACAUCUUAGUAAAAUCAAUAUUCGCUCCGCUCCGAAUCUAAAAAAAAAUAUGUUCUUAAAGAGGCGGUUGAAAAUCAAAAGUUGAUAUUUUUUAGGGUUAACGAAAUAAGAGUAAAACGUUGAAAAUAUUGUAUGUACUAAAUAUUAUGAUAGAUAUCAUUAAAAGAUUUUACUCGUAAAUUAAUAAUGACUAAUAAAACACUAAAAUCCAAAAUCAUUUUCACUUAAAAUUUGUAUAGAUAAUAAUAAUAAUCUCUGGAUCAUGAUAAAAAAAAAAAUCACCGUACGUUCAAUGUACUCGUGAUAAUAAAAUAUAAUAAUAAUUAUUGACAAAUUUAACCGUGCGUUAAAAAUCCUUUAUUGCUCUUUAGUCCGACUUUUCCUGGAAUAUGAAUUCGUCCUUUGGUACCCACAUUUGUAUAUAGAUACCAUAGCGAUUAAAAGGGUUCAACGAAAAUGUCUGUAAUUUUCUGCUUACUUUUUAAAAGUUCCUUUUCCUCUAUAUGAUUAUGAUGGGUUCAUACCCAUCUGCAAAGUUUUAAAUUUACCUAGCCUUACUGUCCAUAGGAUAUCUGCAAACUUAUCAUUUCUAUCUAAACUUUUAUCUAAUUUAAUCAACUGUCCUGCACUUCUUUCUCAAAUAAAUUUUAAAGUUUCAUCUCGUAAUACCAGAUUUACUUGUCCCUUUGUAAUUCCAUUUUCCACUUAAAACUAUAUAAUAAAUUCUCCACUCUACCGUCUUAUGCGUUUUGCUAAUGAGGACCCCGCUUUUAACUAUCGAUAAAUUUCAGCUGGGGUUUUUAUUUAUGUAUUAUCAUAUUUAUAUAAAUCACAUGAUGUUUUUUGGGUCUCAGCCUGUACUUUUAUGAAAUAAAAUAAUUAUAUUCCCAUUACUUUGUUAUCGUAGUUGAAUUUUUUCUCAAUACAUAUAUCAUGAACUUCUGUUCUUUUUCACGCGUCAUUAAACUUAAUGAAAACUAUAAAUUAUAAAUAUUAUAGCUGAAUUAUCCAGUUAUUGUCUGUGCUCAAUCUUUUCUAAAACAGAAAUCAACAAAAUAAAUUCAAUUUAACGUGUUAUCUCGUUCCACCAUUACCCCAAUCACAGUAAGUAAAUUAUUAUAAUUCGAUAAUUUGUCUUUUAACAAGGGUUAUAGUUCCUUGUCUGUGACAACUAAAUUAAAUUCUAUUUGUUUUUUUUUUAUUCAAUUCGUAUCAUCAAUAAGUAACCCAGAAAUCACAAAAAAAAAAAAAAAUUAAAUUUUUCAUAUUAAAAUAUCAAAAAGGGUGAGCCACCCCUUAUAAAUUAAAUUUCGAGAUAAAAGUAGACAGCGAUUUCCCUCUCUUGGUUUGCAUUUCAAGUGUGCAAAGUUCCGUCAAGAUCAGAAUAAAACAGUUAGUAGAUUUAUAUGGCAGACAGAUAGACGGACAGAAUUUUAAUUUUACAUAAAAUAUUAAACAUUAUUUCUUUCGGUAUACCUAUUAUCACAAUAUGUUUCAUUAGAAAACACUUCUCGAGGUUUAAUAAAAGCUAAUGGUAAUCAACUGUUAAUAUGAUAGGUCUCGUUUAUUAACUCGUUUGCAACGGAAGCUGCAUCGACCAUUCAGUAUCGCAAAAUAAUUUUAGAAAAUAAAACUAUGUGUUGACCGCGUUAUUAUUCGAUGUCCACCAAUAAUAUUGCAGAAUAGUCGUAUUCAAACAGCUAGUUGAUUUAUUUCUGAGAAUUCCCAAAUCACUUGUGUAGAGUGUAUUCGCCUAUGUAUAGGCUUUAUUGCUAUAAGAUAUCUAUUAUAGAAAAUAGGGAUGUGAAGCGUUCACGAGAUCGGCCAGAACACAUUACUAAAUUUACUUCAGUUAUUUUUUUUAUGUACAUUUUUUAAUAUUUUUGAAUUCGAAAAGGUGGCAUAGCCGAUUUCAUAUUAUAUGCUUCACGCUGUAAUCAAGUAUGUUUUUUAAUAUUUUUCGUACUGCUUCACUUUAUCAAUCCAAGCACAUAUUUGGAAUUUUACUUAGGAAUUAAAUGUAGGAUAAUUUAUUUUUCUCUGAAUAGUCUAAUAUCCUUCCAUAAUUAAUUAAUAAAGUAUUAUUUGCGAGAACAAUUUUUCUACCAGUAAUCUUGCUUUAGUUUUAAUUAAUGUGUCGGGAAAAUCAUUUUUUUGAAUUUUGGUACUAUUUUUAGUAAUGGGGAAAACUGGAAACAAAAAAAAAAACAGGAAACCAGGAAUAUUUAUGUUGUAAUAUAGUGAAAAUAAUCGUAGAGAACUGACAUUUUCAUCGAAUACAUGACUGCAAGUAUUAGUAUUUUCUAUAUGUCGUAUAUUUUUAAAAAUAUUCUCGCGUUAUUUAAAUCAUUUAUUUCAAAUUUUAAAGUCUCUAAGCUUUUUCUGGUUCUUAAUAAUAAGUUACAUUUAGUGAAAAAAUUUAAGUUAUGUCAUAUAUUAGCACUUUAUUGCUACAUACUUAUCCCGAACUUCGAUCAGAAUCGUUUUUCGUUUUGAACAGUACUUAAAUAGACAAACUAUGAUGUGGGCAUUGGGGGAUAGGGGCAAUUACUUAUAUCACCUGCCCUUCAAAUACGUGUCUUCUUCGAUCGGACAUGCACUGAAAAUUGUUUUAAAUUGCUGUACUCGUAUAAUUACGUAUAUGAUGCAUUAGAUAAAGAAAAGAAAUAUCUUUUCGAAUCCUUUUAGUAUUAAUCAGGCCUUAUAAAUUCCUUGGUCCCAAUUUAAUAAUUUAGUUUUGCGCCAAGCGAGUUUUCGCUUACUAGCAAUGUACGUGGCCAAAUGUAAGUAACAUAAUAAAUAAUUUACUCUGUGAAAAAAAAAACGAAAACUCCUAUAUUUUUUAUAAUGAUAAUAUGCUUCUCCCUUUGAAACAAAUCGAAAGUUCACUUCUUCCGACAGGCUUGUCUUACAACAAAACUUUUCUAUUAAAAAAGUUUACCACUACGAAAAGUGUCGAAAAAACAAUUUUUAUUAUUAUUAUUUUUAUUAUUUUUUUUUUUUGAAAGUCGAGAUCAGAAACAGAUAAAGUCUGACCGUGUAAUAGUAAUAGGCACUUUACGCGAAAUUUGUCUCAUCCGCGUGACAACGAAACAAAUAAAAAUCACACGCAGAAUACACAUCAAUUUCAAAAAGAAAAAAAACGACAUUGUGCGGUAAUACGGUUACCAAUAUAUAAUGUAUAGUUUACAACCGAAUUCGUUUUGUGAAGCGUGAAAACUCUGACGUUUUUUUUUUUAUCGGAGAAUAAUAGUAUAGGGUGAAUAAUAUAUUAAGGGUAGACAAAUUCGCGAAAUAAUCUGAAACUUAUUUAUUUUAGAUACGGAGCGUAUAGCUAGAGAUCUAUUGGUUUUAUUACGAUGCGUUUUUUUGUAUUUUUUGUGUCUGUCAACAACUUUUCUGUCAAAAAAACUUGUUCCGAAGUAUAGACCGUAGAAUCUUUUCUGAAAGGUAAUUUUGUCUAGUUGGUGCACUGAGGUGGUUAUAAUUACAGCACGCCAAGGCGUUACCGUGUUCUUUGUUUUUAUUAUGUUAACACGAUGUUCUCCACCAGAAAUAUUGCUCUAAUAGUUAAACGAUAAAAUAUCUUUUUUUGUUACAUUUUUAAUCUAGUUGUUGAAAGGAAGAAAGUCGAUAUUUUGAUUUUAGAUUCUAAGUGUAUCGAAGAAUGCAUUGGUUUUAUUACGAUGUUUAAUUUUUUUAAUUUUAUUUUUUUAUCCUAUGUAUAAAAAUUCUACCAGAAAUCUUCCUCAGAUAUAUACGCGUGGCACCAUAAUCUGAAAGGGAAUGUUUUCAAAUGGUACUUUUGGGAGGCAAUUUUUUGAUUUUCCAAGCGGAUUUCAUAAUAUCUGGGGAAAACCAGGAUAAAACGUAAGAAAAACGAGAAAUUCACGAAAAUAAUGCUUAUUUAAUUAUUUUAUAAAUAAUUUAUUAUUUUUAAAUUUUGUUAUUCGUUGUAAUUCAGUUAAACAUAUUUGUAGAAACUUGAAAUUUGUACAGAAAACUUAUAUUUGGCUUUUCUAGACGCGGUAAAAUUUCAAAAUAUUUGAGUAAUUUUUAGGCUUUUUAUAGGCAUUUUAAUGUUGAAAGUUUUGUACGUAAUUUUUAUUCGGUAGGUACUCUGUGGUAAAAUUCUUAGAUUUGAACAGAAAUGCUUGAAAAUGUAUUAAUAGGUUCAUUAAUUGUCUUAAUUUGUAGUGAAAAUAAAAAAUUAAUUUGAUGUAGUAUUUUUUUUUUUUAUAAGAGAAUUUUAUUAUCAAAUUUCGUUUGAGUAAAACAUUAUGCGGAACAAAUCUAAUUUAUCAAUUUUUUUUUUUUUCAAACAUAUGUAUAUUGCCGAUUUAAAAAUGAUGAAAGAGCCAGAAUUAAGCGGGCUGAUUAAGUUUCGAAAUUAUAGCUUUUUGAAGUUCUGAUAUUAUGUGGAUAUUAUAUGUUAUGUUAAAUAAUUCUAUGUUAUGAAAAAAAUUGUUUGCAUUUUUCCCCCUUUUAUCUAAACAAGUAAAAACAAAUCCAUUUUGGGUGUAUGUAGAGACCCAAGCUAUCUCUCGCUCGGAAUAUUUUAAUCACAAAAUAUCCUUUGGUUCUUUGAGAAAACUUUUCUACCAGCAAUAAAUAUUGCUUUAAUAUUUCUUCGAUUUAAAAUAAUAGCACUUUUUCUGAAAGGAAAUCUGACUGGAAAAGUACUUCAGGGAUGUAAUUUUUCGAUUUUCCCAAGAGUUUUCCUAGUAAAUGUUAAAAAGCGAGAAAACUACAAAAAAACGGGAUUAUCGUUACAAUAUAAACAAAUAUUAUAAAAGAAAAUAUAUAAUGCUUACAUAAUAAUUUUACUAUAAUGUGACAUAUAUAUUGUUGACAGAGCAUCACUAUCAACUGAACUGCGAUCAGAAUAGGUUUUUUUUAAGAAAUGGUUUAAUAUUAAUUACAAAUAUACAUUAAAUUACCUAUAACAAUGGCUGCAUCCGUCUCCAUUAUCCUAGGACGUCUUUUUUUUCUGUAAUUUUAUCAAUAAUUGGGAAAAAUCGGAGAAAACGUAAAAUGAUAACUGACAAAAUUUUUACGGUUAUGUUUUCUACAAAAUAUUUUGUUCCAAUAGAAAAAUAACAACAGACCUUUUUUUGUUGAAUUUUUAAUUUCGUUGAUGACCAAGAAAGUUUUUUUUUGAUUUUCUUUGUAGUUUUUUUUAAUAAUUGAGUAAAACCGAAAAAAAAUGCAGAAAGUACUGGAAAACUUUCAACCUUCAAAACAUUAUGUUUAUUUUCAGUAGGUUUACGCUAUCCUGGGUGACCGUUAUUUCAGCCGAUUUCUAACGAAUAAUGAGAUAAUAAACAAAUCGUUUGAUCGAACCUUUAAAAAAAAUGUUGUAUUCAUAUUAAUACCCCACGAGUAUAUUAAUUUAUUUGCUCUGCCAAUUUUUCGUAAGAAAAAUGUUCAAAAUGUUAAUUGUUUGCAAUUGUUAUACACAACAAAGCAAUGACGUUAGGAGCGAAAAAAAAAUGAAAUAAAAAAAUUGUGUAAUGCAUAUAUUUUUUUAAGAGUUAUAAUAUCAAAUUUUUGACAAGAAUCGUAAAUAUACACAUAUAUAACAGAAUUUCGCUCGUUUUUGAUUGAAAUAGGAAAAUAGAACAUAAUAUUUAAAAUAUUUUUUCCAUUUGGAUCGGAUAAUCAUUUUCGUCGACAAAAAAAGUAUAAUCGAUCGAACAUCAAACCCAUUGGUUUUUUUAAGUUUAAUAUAAAAUUGUAAAUUUUAGAAAAAUUAUAUUGUAUGAGUCCAUUAUGACAUGUUGAAGUACAUAUGGAAAUAGGAUAUAAUAUUGAUAUAUUUUUGCAGGGAACAUAUUAUUUGCCCAUUAAGAGAUGUCCGCUAUACACAGGUGACCGUUAAGAUAGGUUUCAAAGUAAAAACGUACUUACAAAUUAAUAUCGUGUAGGCGUGUUAAAUUUCUCUGUAUAUUAUGUUCGAGACACGUUUUAAUGGAAACCAAACUCUUUGGAAAACCUUACGUAUGGUAGAAACAAAUAUUAUUAUUUCGGAGUUAAAAAAGAUAUCUCGAUUACUACAGAGCCAGAAUUAACAAUGCAUUUUGAAAUGAACGAGAUAUUUUUAUACCAGUCGAGUAUUAUGCAGUACUUAAGUACAAGUCGGUGACGCGAAAAUUGAGGGUAGUUAAUUACUUCAAACUCGAAUGAAAUAAUAUUCACCCUUUUUCGAUCCCUUAUAAUGCGCGUCACUAUAAUAUUAUAAUUUAUCGAUCGGCCGACGAAAAUAAUGUUUAAAAUAAACGUGCAUAAAUUAACUGAUUAAAACAAAUUAAAUCAUUGUUGUCAUCAUUGUAUUAUAUACCUAUACCUAUUUUUUAAAACGAUAUCGAUAACACUUAUCGUUGAAAAACACUGAACGAGACGAGUUUUUCCGAAGUUUAUCGAAUUAAUAAUAUGCGUCGAAACCCGAUGAAUCGUAAAGACAAACAAAUGUUCAACUAAUAUAUUAUAAUUAUUAAUCUGCGUCGCUGGACCGGAUUAAGAGUUUACCGGGUCUAGAUAGCCUGGUAGUCCAAUAUUGGUCCUCACACUAUGCAAUAAAUAACUAUGGUAAUGAUCAAUAACCCAAUUUUACCUCUUUUUAAAAAAAAAAAAAAUGAAACUAACGAAAUAAUUUAUAUAUAUAUAUAUAUUUUUUUUUUAAAACUAGAGGGCCUCAGACUUGAAAUUAAAGAUAUAAAUACUGUCCAAGUAUUGUUACCGAAUGAAAUUAUAACAUUUUAUACAAAUAUAAUUUGUAUACUUACAAUUAUUCAACAAACAUUAAAUUUAAAAUAUUAUUUAUUUGUUCUGAAAUAAUAAAAACCUUUUUCGGGACCAUCGAUAUUGCAAAUCCUGCAGUGCCCGAAUUUAAUCCGACCAUGCUACAGUGAUUCGGUAUACCUAUACUGUACACAGUCGGUAUAUUAUGCGUUAUUUACAUUUACGUAUAUACUUAUUAUUUGAUCGAUUUCGAAAAAAUUAUUAAGAUUUUUUCCGCGAGUGUUGUUUUAAAACAAUUUAAAUACGAAAUUUUAAACAUGCUUUCUUUUGAUAUCCGGUUAAAAAAAAACUAUUUCGAAUAGUUUGUUUAUUAAUAUUAUUUAAUGGCUGUAAUGAAGUGGUUUAAACAAUUUUUGUUUAUUUUAAGUGCUGUAAGUUCUGAACCCUGUAGAGUUAUAAGUAAAUAUGGUCGGAAAAAAAGCGCGUUUAAUGAAUUGCGUCCGGGAAAAAAAUGUCGCAAUAUCAGCGAAUAGGUGAACUGCGUCCACGAUUUGUUUACCGACUGGAUGAAUUAUUGUGUAUAAUCUAUAUUGCAGUGUCUUCCGGCUCGAGAUCUCCAUGGACAUUUCUUGCUACCACUUGAAAAUUACAUUUUGGAUAUGUAUGGAACUUUUACACGAAUAGAUUUGUCUUGUGUUUCACGUUUUGUGUUUUUCAUAAAAAUUUGCCAUUUUGGAGUUAUAGGUCAUUUACGAAUAGAACGGAUAUUAUAUAUUGUAUUAUGUAAAAAAUAUAUUGGAAAAAAAUAAUAAUAAUAAAUUGUCACUACUCACUUUGUUUCGGCAAUGUUUUCCGAUUCUUAUAUGUGUAGUGGUUUUUCUCAAACUCAAAAUGAUUUCCGCGUAUAGAAUAGUUUCGGACGAACAAGAAUAUUUAUCGACUUUAUAAAUUACAAACUGGCGCCAAAAAGGUUGAAAACUGUACAACGCGUUUCGUAACGAAUAACAUUUGAACUGCAGCAGAAAAUAGAUUAGUAAUAAACAGUUUGUUGCUCCUCAAGGGGCCGCCAAUAAACAAUUAUAUCACAUGAUGUGUUGUCGUCGUAUUUCUUACAUAGUAAUAAUUGAUUCUGUUUUUAAUAAUCGCGUUUAAAUGCAAGAGAUAAUUUUAUCAUUAAAAUGUUGAGUAUUUUCGAUGGGUCGAAACAAUUUUAUCCACGCGAAAUUAAAAAAAACCUCGACAAUUACAAAUGAUUAUAAAUAAUUUAAAAAUUGCCAAAACGUUUUAAAAAUUGUACAAUGUCUGAGAAGGGAUAAUAUAAGUUUUGGUGACAUUUCAGGUCUAUACGUUUAUUUUUAACCGAAUUACAACAAAAAACGAAAUAUUUUUUCUUAUAGUUUCUUUUAGAUUCGGAAUGUAAUGAGGGAUAUAUUGGUUGUACUAUGAUAUGUGCGUUUUUUAACAUUUUUUUUUCUGGACACAUUUUUUCGAAAAGAAAUCUUGAUCCUAUGUAUAAAAUAUAUUACUUUUUCUAGAUGUGGUAAAACUUUAAGAUCAUUUGAGCAAUUAUAUUGAAUUAUUUAUAGACAUUUCAAUUUUGAAAAGAAGUUCAUUACAUGUCGUAGGUGGCCAAAAAAAAUAAAAUACAAGGUUAGAUAAGGCUCAUGAGUGUAAUGUAGUAUUAUCUUAUUUUUUAUAAGAGUUUUAAAGUCAUAUUUUUCGACGAUAAUCAUAAAUAUUUUCAAAACAUGUACAACCGAACUUCGCUUCAAAUCUUGUUUCGUUUACAAUAGUUUACCGUUGGUUACAGAUAUAAAUUAAAUAACUUUAUGUAUUCCACCUUUCCAACUACCCACCUACAACAGUGGCUGCACUUUUUAAUUUAUCCGAUUCAAGCUCUGGGUGGUUGCAAGCCUGGUUUAUAAGUAUAUUUCAUGCGUUUUGUAACAUUUUCGUGUUAACAACUGUUGUAAAUAAAUAAAUAUGUUUAACUAUUGGAUGAAAAAUUUAAGCCAAUAAAAAUAGUUAGUAUACCUAGUAUAAUAUGUGUGGUACUGAUAAUUUUCAAUGGCAAAAACGUGUCCGCAUAAAAUAAAAUAAAAUAUUUUUGUAAGGGUUUUAGUGUUAAAACGCGAAUUAUGAAAUUAGUAAAAAUCCAUAUUUGUACGAGACAACUUUGUUGACGGUUUUUGAACUAUUACUUUCCCUUACUGACUUUCUAUGAACAAUUUAAAUUUACUAAAAGAUAUAAAAUACGAGUUUUCGAUUACAAAUCGGAUAUUUAUUGUAAAAUUGUUGUAAAAUACCGACAGGGACGUCUCGGAAAUGUUGUCAUCAAUAUUUUUUUUUCAUGGGUGUUAUAUCUCUAAAAUUAUUACAAACGACACUAUAUUCUAUUUUGUAUGAACAUGUUUUUCAAACAUUAAACGGUGUCACUGGUAAGUUAAUAUUUGAAAUAUUUCAGUUUGUCCUUUAUGUACUUUUUGUUUUUAUUAUUAAUGUUGAUUUUCGGGUUAUAUUGAUAACAAGAGAUUGAUAUAAGUAAUGUGUCUCCAUUCAGAAUCGUUUUCCGUUUGCUUGUUACGUAUACACGGUACAGUAUAUAAACCAAAUUACCUUGUAUACUUUACUUUGCCAACUACCCAUCUACAACAGAGACAUAACUACCCGUGAUCAAAUUUUUUAAAAUAACUUUUGAAAAUAUUGUUUAUUUGCAGACGACCAACAUGGGCAUGCACAACAACACGUGCGGCAGUGGAAUAGUCGGUGGCGGUGGUGGUGGC